rnacentral:rRNA from 1 species
GCUCAACCGUGGAGGGUCAUUGGAAACUGGGAAACUUGAGUGCAGAAGAGGAAAGUGGAAUUCCAUGUGUAGCGGUGAAAUGCGCAGAGAUAUGGAGGAACACCAGUGGCGAAGGCGACUUUCUGGUCUGUAACUGACGCUGAUGUGCGAAAGCGUGGGGAUCAAACAGGAUUAGAUACCCUGGUAGUCCACGCCGUAAACGAUGAGUGCUAAGUGUUAGGGGGUUUCCGCCCCUUAGUGCUGCAGCUAACGCAUUAAGCACUCCGCCUGGGGAGUACGACCGCAAGGUUGAAACUCAAAGGAAUUGACGGGGACCCGCACAAGCGGUGGAGCAUAUGGUUUAAUUCGAAGCAACGCGAAGAACCUUACCAAAUCUUGACAUCCUUUGACCACUCUAGAGAUAGAGUUUUCCCCUUCGGGGGACAAAGUGACAGGUGGUGCAUGGUUGUCGUCAGCUCGUGUCGUGAGAUGUUGGGUUAAGUCCCGCAACGGGCGCAACCCUUAAGCUUAGUUGCCAUCAUUAAGUUGGGCACUCUAGGUUGACUGCCGGUGACAAACCGGAGGAAGGUGGGGAUGACGUCAAAUCAUCAUGCCCCUUAUGAUUUGGGCUACACACGUGCUACAAUGGACAAUACAAAG